rnacentral:rRNA from 1 species
UCGAGCGAACAGACGAGGAGCUUGCUCCUCUGACGUUAGCGGCGGACGGGUGAGUAACACGUGGAUAACCUACCUAUAAGACUGGGAUAACUUCGGGAAACCGGAGCUAAUACCGGAUAAUAUAUUGAACCGUAUGGUUCAAUAGUGAAAGACGGUUUUGCUGUCACUUAUAGAUGGAUCCGCGCCGCAUUAGCUAGUUGGUAAGGUAACGGCUUACCAAGGCAACGAUGCGUAGCCGACCUGAGAGGGUGAUCGGCCACACUGGAACUGAGACACGGUCCAGACUCCUACGGGAGGCAGCAGUAGGGAAUCUUCCGCAAUGGGCGAAAGCCUGACGGAGCAACGCCGCGUGAGUGAUGAAGGUCUUCGGAUCGUAAAACUCUGUUAUUAGGGAAGAACAAAUGUGUAAGUAACUAUGCACGUCUUGACGGUACCUAAUCAGAAAGCCACGGCUAACUACGUGCCAGCAGCCGCGGUAAUACGUAGGUGGCAAGCGUUAUCCGGAAUUAUUGGGCGUAAAGCGCGCGUAGGCGGUUUUUUAAGUCUGAUGUGAAAGCCCACGGCUCAACCGUGGAGGGUCAUUGGAAACUGGAAAACUUGAGUGCAGAAGAGGAAAGUGGAAUUCCAUGUGUAGCGGUGAAAUGCGCAGAGAUAUGGAGGAACACCAGUGGCGAAGGCGACUUUCUGGUCUGUAACUGACGCUGAUGUGCGAAAGCGUGGGGAUCAAACAGGAUUAG